rnacentral:rRNA from 1 species
GACGAACGCUGGCGGCGUGCUUAACACAUGCCAGUCGAACAGAAAGGCCCUGCUUUUGUGGGGUGCUCGAGUGGCGAACGGGUGAGUAACACGUGAGUAACCUGCCCUUGACUUUGGGAUAACUUCAGGAAACUGGGGCUAAUACCGGAUAGGAGCUCCUGCUGCAUGGUGGGGGUUGGAAAGUUUCGGCGGUUGGGGAUGGACUCGCGGCUUAUCAGCUUGUUGGUGGGGUAGUGGCUUACCAAGGCUUUGACGGGUAGCCGGCCUGAGAGGGUGACCGGCCACAUUGGGACUGAGAUACGGCCCAGACUCCUACGGGAGGCAGCGGUGGGGAAUAUUGCACAAUGGGCGGAAGCCUGAUGCAGCAACGCCGCGUGCGGGAUGACGGCCUUCGGGUUGUAAACCGCUUUCGCCUGUGACGAAGCGUGAGUGACGGUAAUGGGUAAAGAAGCACCGGCUAACUACGUG